UACGGGGGGGGCAAGCGUUGUUCGGAAUUACUGGGCGUAAAGCGCGCGUAGGCGGACCUGCAAGUCGGGGGUGAAAGCCCGAGGCUCAACCUCGGAACUGCCUUCGAUACUGCGGGUCUCGAGUCCGGGAGAGGUGAGUGGAAUUCCUAGUGUAGAGGUGAAAUUCGUAGAUAUUCGCAAGAACACCAGUGGCGAAGGCGGCUCACUGGCCCGGUACUGACGCUGAGGUGCGAAAGCGUGGGGAGCAAACAGG
rnacentral:rRNA from 1 species